rnacentral:miRNA from 14 species
UAUGACGUGAAACUUUCUCGUCAUGACGUGAAACUUUCUCGUUAUGACGUGAAACUUUCUCGUCAUGACGUGAAACUUUAACGUCAUG